UACGUAGGGGGCGAGCGUUGUCCGGAUUUAUUGGGCGUAAAGAGCUCGUAGGCGGCUUGGCAAGUCGGGUGUGAAACCUCCAGGCUCAACCUGGAGACGCCACUCGAUACUGCCAUGGCUAGAGUCCGGUAGGGGACCACGGAAUUCCUGGUGUAGCGGUGAAAUGCGUAGAUAUCGUGAGGAAGACCAGUGGCGAAGGCGAAUCUCUGGACAGAUCCUGACGCUGAGGCACGAAGGCUAGGGGAGCAAACGGG
rnacentral:rRNA from 1 species